CAGUAGCCGCGGUAAUACGAAGGGGGCUAGCGUUGCUCGGAAUUACUGGGCGUAAAGGGAGCGUAGGCGGGUCGUUUAGUCAGAGGUGAAAUCCCGGGGCUCAACCUCGGAACUGCCUUUGAUACUGGCGACCUUGAGUAUGGGAGAGGUGAGUGGAACUCCGAGUGUAGAGGUGAAAUUCGUAGAUAUUCGGAAGAACACCAGUGGCGAAGGCGACUCACUGGCCCAUUACUGACGCUGAGGCUCGAAAGCGUGGGGAGCAAACAGGAUUAGAUACCCCCGUAGUCCCUGUCUCUUAUAC
rnacentral:rRNA from 1 species